rnacentral:rRNA from 1 species
UACGUAGGUGGCGAGCGUUGUCCGGAUUUACUGGGCGUAAAGGGCGUGCAGGCGGUCUGCUAAGUCUAGGGUGAAAGCUCCCGGCUCAACUGGGAGAGGUCCGCGGAAACGGUCGGGCUGGAGCAAGGUAGGGGGUCGUGGAAUUCCCGGUGUAGUGGUGGAAUGCGUAGAGAUUGGGAGGAACACCAGUGGCGAAGGCGGCGACCUGGACCUGUGCUGACGCUGAGGCGCGAAAGCGUGGGGAGCAAACAGG